AGUAAUGUAUGGGGAUCUGCCUGAUGGCGGGGGAUAACUACUGGAAACGGUAGCUAAUACCGCAUAAUGUCUGCGGACCAAAGCGGGGGACCUCCGGGCCUCGCGCCAUCAGAUGAACCCAUAUGGGAUUAGCUUGUAGGUAAGGUAACGGCUUACCUAGGCGACGAUCCCUAGCUGGUCUGAGAGGAUGAUCAGCCACACUGGAACUGAGACACGGCCCAG
rnacentral:rRNA from 1 species